rnacentral:rRNA from 1 species
CACGUAGGCGGAUCGUUAAGUCGGGGGUGAAAUCCUGGAGCUCAACUCCAGAACUGCCUUCGAUACUGGCGAUCUUGGAGUCCGGGAGAGGUGAGUGGAACUCCGAGUGUAGAGGUGAAAUUCGUAGAUAUUCGGAAGAACACCAGUGGCGAAGGCGGCUCACUGGCCCGGUACUGACGCUGAGGUGCGAAAGCGUGGGGAGCAAACA